rnacentral:rRNA from 1 species
UUACGGUCAAAUCACGCUGAAACACCGGUUCUCGUUCGAUCACCGAAGUUAAGCAGCGUAGAGCCAGGUCAGAACUUAGAUGGGGGACCGCUUGGGAACACCUGGUACUGUAAG